rnacentral:rRNA from 1 species
CGAAUAGCUCAUUACAACAGCCAUAGUUUACUGGAAUAUCGUUAUCCUACUUGGAUAACUGUGGCAAUUCUAGAGCUAAUACAUGCAUAAAAGCUCUGCCCGAAAGGAAAGAGCGCAUUUGUUAGAGUAAAAACCAAUCGGGCUUCGGCCUGUAAUUUGGUGAAUCUGAAUAACUUUGCCAAUCGCACAGUCCUAGUACUGGCGAUGUAUCCUUCAAGUGUCUGCCUUAUCAACUUUCGAUGGUAGGUUAUACGCCUACCAUGGUAGUAACGGGUAACGGAGAAUAAGGGUUCGACUCCGGAGAGGGAGCCUGAGAAACGGCUACCACAUCCAAGGAAGGCAGCAGGCGCGCAAAUUACCCACUUCCAGAACGGAGAGGUGGUGACGAAAAAUAACGAGACAGUCCUCUUCGAGGUCUGUCAUCGGAAUGGGUACAAUUUAAAUCCUUUAACGAGGAUCUAUUGGAGGGCAAGUCUGGUAAUCGAAUUACCGCGGCCGCCAUGGUGGCCGCGAAUUCACUAGUGAUUCUGGUUGAUCCUGCCAGGAGGGCAAGUCUGGU